AGUCAGAAACCCAGGCAUGUGCCCUGACAGAAUCAAACCAGACACCUCUUGGUUCAUGGGACAUGCUCAAUCCAUUGAGCCACACUGGCUGGGCUCAUUCUAAUCCUUACUUUCUAAUUUUAGGAGAGUAUAGAAAGAAUUUGUAAAUACUCUGAAGUCAUUUGAUAUUGAGCACUGAUAGGUAUAAGAUAUUAGGUAUUUUUUCUGCCUUAAUUUACAAUAAAACAUUCAGGCUUUCCAUAUUAUCAAAUGUCAACUACUUGGAACACCAGCAGAAAAGAGGAGAGAAUUUUUAAAAGAAUAUUAAGCAGCUGAAAAAUGAUGUCAGAAAGUCCAAAUUCUAAAACCUAUUUUAAAACUUCACUUAGCAAAGGACCUCUUACUUUUCAGAGCCUAUUUAUUUAUAUUUUAUAAACAAGCUUAAGAUAGUUGGUUGAUGUUUUCUGCUACUCACUAAGAGGUAGCAAGUCUAUAUGUACAUUUAUGUACAUAAAAGGUAAUAUCAUGGGGAAGAGGCAGAAAAACCAAUACCAACACUUGAGAAUAUAGGAUACUAGUCAAACUUAACUGCUGUAACUU